rnacentral:rRNA from 1 species
UACGAAGGGGGCUAGCGUUGCUCGGAAUUACUGGGCGUAAAGGGCGCGUAGGCGGAUACUUAAGUUGGGGGUGAAAGCCCGGGGCUCAACCUCGGAAUUGCCUUCAAUACUGGGUAUCUUGAGUUCGGGAGAGGUGAGUGGAAUGCCGAGUGUAGAGGUGAAAUUCGUAGAUAUUCGGCGGAACACCAGUGGCGAAGGCGACUCACUGGCCCGAUACUGACGCUGAGGCGCGAAAGCUGGGAUGGAGCAAACAGGG